AUACGUAGGGUGCAAGCGUUAAUCGGAAUUACUGGGCGUAAAGCGUGCGCAGGCGGUUCGGAAAGAAGGAUGUGAAAUCCCAGGGCUCAACCUUGGAACUGCCUUCUUAACUACCGAACUAGAGUAUGUCAGAGGGGGGAAGAAUUCCGCGUGUAGCAGUGAAAUGCGUAGAUAUGCGGAGGAAUACCGAUGGCGAAGGCAGCCCCCUGGGAUAAUACUGACGCUCAUGCACGAAAGCGUGGGUAGCAAACAGGAUUAGAUACCCUGGUAGUCCACGCCCUAAACGAUGUCAACUAGCUGUUGGGCCCUUCGGGGCUUAGUAGCGUAGCUAACGCGUGAAGUUGACCGCCUGGGGAGUACGGUCGCAAGAUUAAAACUCAAAUGAAUUGACGGGG
rnacentral:rRNA from 1 species